CCUACGGGAGGCAGCAGUAGGGAAUUUUCCACAAUGGGCGAAAGCCUGAUGGAGCAACGCCGCGUGGGUGAAGAAGGUCUUCGGAUCGUAAAACCCUGUUGUUAGAGAAGAAAGUGCGUGAGAGUAACUGUUCACGUUUCGACGGUAUCUAACCAGAAAGCCACGGCUAACUACGUGCCAGCAGCCGCGGUAAUACGUAGGUGGCAAGCGUUAUCCGGAUUUAUUGGGCGUAAAGGGAACGCAGGCGGUCUUUUAAGUCUGAUGUGAAAGCCUUCGGCUUAACCGGAGUAGUGCAUUGGAAACUGGGAGACUUGAGUGCAGAAGAGGAGAGUGGAAUUCCAGGUGUAGGAGUGAAAUCCGUAGAUAUCUGGAGGAACAUCAGUGGCGAAGGCGACUAUCUGGCACAUAACUGACGCUGAGGAGCGAAAGCGUGGGUAGCAAACAGGAUUAGAUACCCUUGUAGUC
rnacentral:rRNA from 1 species